rnacentral:piRNA from 1 species
UGCAGAAAAGGGCAUCCUUAAGGUCCA